AGGCUCGCCGUCGGUGGUGCUGUGCCAGCUUUCCCAGGCAGCAGGGGCACACCCAAGUAUCCAACCCCCACCAAGACAACCAAAGGUAGCUCCUGGCCCUUCCACCCCUGGAGGGGUGCUGUUCCCAUCGACACCACCUUCCGUGUCCUCCACCUGUGGAAGGAGCGCGACAUCAAGCCCUUGCCACCCUCACAGGUUUGGCUUUCCUCAAAAGGGACAUUUCCUAGCAGAACAGAGGUGGCAGUCAUCAGAUUUGCAAGUGAGACUCUCUUACAGGGGACAAACUCCAACAACUCCUGGGCCAUUGGCAUUUCCUUUAACCAUUACACAUGGAACUUUCAACCCUUUUGCUAAUAUUUGACCACCAGAAAACACCAAAAUUCGACCUCAUUGGGAAGUUACAGGGACAAUUCCAGAUAGGACUGGGUUUAAAGUCAUAUCUUUGGGCUCAUAGCCAUGCAUUUUCUUAAAUAUUUUUGCUCUCUCUGAAGUCUUUCAUUAAGAACAUUAAGAGACUGAAGACUAAAUAAAGUAUCAUUUUAUUUAACUCAUUGACUCCCUUUUUUCAACCCACUCUUCAUGAGUAUUCACCCCGUAUAAAGUUCUGAAUGGAUGGGGACAGCAUUUACCCAGACAAUUCAGAAUUAAUAGAAAAAAAGGAUGCCAAUGAAUAGAAAAAGGAGUCAGACUGGUGACGAUGAAAAAUGCCAACCUUGGGACCUGAGAAAGCUGGGCAAAGGAUGGCACAGGGAGAGGGACAGGGCCUCACAGCCCUUCUCUUAAGUGAAUUGACCCUCCAAAUCUGCAAGCCUGCCUUUUGGGAGAGCAGCUACCCUCACCUCAUGCAAGAGUGGGCAGGUAAGUAUGUUGGGUGUAGACAAAACGUCUAGGACAGGCAAGUACAGGGGCUCAAAGUAGAUUCCAAGUGACCAGGGCAGGAGGGAGAGGGAGGGGAGGGAUGGCUCACUGAGCUCAGCCAUGUGUUUUUAUUUUACCACCUGGACACAAAGGCUCCAUCCCACCAAGGGUGAUGAAGCAGUUUUGGAAAUAGUGAUGAUGUUUGGCUACACAAUGCUGCAAAUGUUUGAAUUUGGGCAUGAGCAUCAAAGUAGAAAAUUGUAUAUGCAUUUUCCCACAACAAUUUUUUUAAAAAUCCUGUUAAGACCCCUUUUUCCUCCAGCAACCAUCCUCCUUCUUUUUAAAAGUGUUGAUAAGGAGUGGGGUAGAGUCGGGUGGGGGCAUGUCUGUAAUCCUAGUGACUCCAGAAGCUGAGCAGGAGGAUCACAAGUUCAAGCCCAGCCUCAGCCACUUACCACGACCUGUCUCAAAAUAAAAUAGGGUGUUGGUAGUGUAGCUCAAUGGUAGAGCACCCCUGGGUUCAAUCCCCAGUACACACACAAAGAAGAAAAAAAGCAUUGAUGAGUCUUGCUGUCUGAAAUUACUUCUUCCCGCCUCCUGUGAACCAACCCAGCGGCCUGCUAGCCCCAACACUCACCUGGAGGAGGCGAUGGCCUAAGUGUGGUGGGGCUCCAGGGAGAAAAAGGAGGGGAGGGCAUGCCCCAAAGGCAGCUGGAACCAUGGGGCAGACCCCAGACCCAGGGACCAGAGACAGGGUCAGAGAAGGGUCCUUGGUUGCUCUGGGAAAGACUAGAAGAGACAGGCAGUGAUGAUUGGGGAAGGGAGGAAUAGCCCAGGACUGUAGAGCUACAGGGCCCCAGGGAAGCAGGGUGGCCAGGGUACAGGGCCCUGGGAGCUAUGGGAUGCUGACCUGAUUGCUCCUUCUCUUUGUACCAAAGUUAUCCCUGAGCCAGGAGAGGGAGUUGGGGCUGUGAGCAUGCAGGGAUAAGACUGGAAGAAGCCACUGCAGAGACCAAGUGGGUAAGCAGACAGUAAUGCAGUGGAUCACUGGGUCUUGCCAGUCCCAAGAUGGCGCUCAUGGGUUAAGAAUGACAGCGCUGAGAUGAAUUGCAUAGAUCCAGGAAUAACUAACAGAGAGUAAAAGACAAGGGCCAUCUUGGAAAUUAUAGUUCUUCUCUGGGGCUUCAGCAGCAAACAGGGUGGGUAAAAAGCACAAAUGCAUUCUGUUCGCCCUGGAGGCCCCAAGUUUGAGAUCCAGGUGUCUUUAAGACUGGUUUCUCUGGUAGCUCUGAGGCCACCUGUCCCUGGCCUCUCUCCCAGAUCCUGGCAUCCCUGAGCUCACAGGCACAAGUCUCCAUUCUCUGCUUCCAUCAGGACUCACAUGGAGCCCUCCUCUCUGCAUCUCUGAGUUUCCGUACUUUUACAUGACUUCCAUGGGACACCAGUCACUGCAUUGCCACCCUAAAUCCUGUAUGAACUCAUCUUGACUUGAGACAUCCCCAAAGAUCCUAUUUCCAAACAAAGUCAUAUUCACAGGUUGCAGGGUUAGGAUAUGAAGAUGUCUUUUUGGAGGACAUAAUGCCACACGAGACAGGGACAGAGAUGAAAUGUCAUGAGAGUUCAGAAGAGGCGAUAAAAUUGCUUCCAUCCAGGGCAUCCAGAUGACCCCAGAAGAGCUCUGAGGAUUUGAACAUACAGUCCUGUCUUCAAUCUCAGCCCAUUUUCUGCCUUACAGGUGUCAUUCAUUAGAGUAAGUUACACGCACAUAAAUAAGCAAGGUUGAAGGAAGGACAGACUUCCUGCCUGCCUCAAAUCCCAGUUUCCCUCUUCCUCCCUAAUGUGACUUGGUUACUUUAUUUCUUGGUGCCUCAGUGUUCACAGCAAUAAAAUAAGUAUAGGCAUUAAUGAGUUCUCUUCAGGGGAAAUUCCAGAAUGAGUCUACUAUUGGCUGUAAGAUGUAGGUCACGCUGCUCCACUUUGAUUUGCGGAUAGUUUGGUACCUGGUCCCUUUCCAAUGCAUUGGCCUAACAAGGCAGAGUGUUUCCAAGUGAGGAAUUCUGCAUGCAUCAUCUUGGAGCGGAACUGUGCAAUGGUGGAGAACAACAUCCUUUUCAUGUGACAGAGAGAAGUUGAGAUGCACCCUUGAUCAUUUAUGAGCUUGACACGCUUCCUUCUAUCUGAGCAGGGAAGCUUAAAGAUCGAGGCCUGAAUCACAGGUGCAAAUGACCCCUCAGGAGGGGUGGUAUGUUUCAAGGGAACUCCCUCUCCUCUGUUUCACUGGAAGCCCUCACUGCUGAAAGUGAGACCCGUGCAUUGGACAAUGUGUGGGAUGAAAUGCCAGAGGCACACUCUGCUCAUGGCUUACCUUAAAAACAUGGUCUUGACUUAGUCAUGCUGCUAUAACAAAAUACCCAAGACUGAUUUAUUCAGAAAUAGAUGUCUCACAGUUCUAAGGCUGGGAAGUCUAAGGUUGGGGUGUCCACAGGUUCAUUGUGUCAUGAUGGCAUCUUCUCAGGGUGGCAUCUUCCCAUGAAGGAAGGAAGGGGGCAAAAGGGGAUGAGUGCUGUGUCCUUAUAUGAGUCAGAAGAGUGAUCUCAAGCUCUUUUAUAGGGAUCCUAAUCCCCUUCAUGAGCAUUCUGCCUCAUGACCAAAUCACUCCAAAGGACCCUCCUAUCACUGCCACAUUUCGAUUUUUUUUUCAACUUGGUUGUGACAUGAAUUUUUGGAGGGGACAUAGUCAGAACAAAGCAGUUUCCCUCCUUCUUUGGCAACUGAAUCAGAUUCUGUGCAUCCAUCAGACAUGUUCCCUUGACGGCAGAGAGUUGGGGGUUUCCUGGACGAGUCAGAAACAGGUGGGGAGUCCUGACCGAGGAGGCACAGGGAAGUCUUCCAGGGGUGGGGGAGUCUCUGAAAUCUUCUUUUCUUCUGGAGAAAGUCAGGAGGAACACUUCUCUGACCGGCUGACAAUCAUUUGCUUCUUUUCCAGUGGUCUGAUUCCGGGGACAUCAUCCACUGGAUUACUGGUGGCUUCCAGAACAGCAAUUUUAUCCUGAAACCCAGGAGUACAUGAGACACAGCAGAAAGACAUCUGGCUUCUCAAGAGCCCAGGAAACUGGAAAUCCAUAUGGACUUGAACUAGAUCAGAUAUAGAAGCAAAGAAAAUGACGAGCAGGUGAGAGGCGCAGCACCAUCUCCAUGUCCGUCUGCCAGAGCCCAGCCCAGCCCAGCCCAGCAUGACUGUCCCCUAACCCCUCAGCCUUCCUGCAGACAUCCCACAGCACAAACGUCCCCCCUCUGGCCGGAGCAGCACUGCCCCAUCCGUUGAUGAGAGGCCCCCGUCGCUCUCUGUCACACAGGUGCUGUGGCCUCCUGCACAUCCACCUCCUGAGGACAGUCUUUGCCACACACUGCCCAGGUUCAGGGGAUCGAAAUCCAUUUGCCCAGGCUAAAAAGCCCAGGAUAGGCCAGCAUGUCCCGGGGCUGCCUUUGUCAGUGCUACACACUGUCACCAACCCGCAUGGCUCCUUGCUACCUCCCCAGGGCAGCCCUUUGUACCAUGGGUGUGGAAGUGAGUUUUAUGUGGCAAUGAUGAAGGGGGAGUGAUUAUGGUUUGGAUAUUAGGUGUCCCCCGAAAGCUCAGUGUGAGACUGCAGUAGGCUUAGCAGGGAAAUGAUGGGGUUAUGAGAGCCUUAACCCAAUUAGUGAAGAAAUCCCCUGAUGGGGGCUGACUGAGUGGUAACUGAAGGCACAUGGGGUGUGGCUGGAGGAGGGGGCCCAUGGGGGCGUGCCUCUGGGGCUUAAAUUGUGUAUCUGGCAAGUGGAGUCUAUCUCUCUGCUUUCUGAUCAUCAUGUGAGCUGCUUCCCUCCACCACACUCUUCCUCCAUGAUGUUCAGCCUCACCUUGAGCCCUGAGGAACAGAGCCUGCUGUCUAGGGACUGAGACCUCUAAAACCAUGAGCCCCUAAAUAAACUUUUCCUCCUCUACAAUUG
rnacentral:lncRNA from 1 species